rnacentral:rRNA from 1 species
AACGAACGCUGGCGGCAUGCCUAACACAUGCAAGUCGAACGAGACCUUCGGGUCUAGUGGCGCACGGGUGCGUAACGCGUGGGAACCUGCCCUUAGGUUCGGAAUAACUCCCCGAAAGGGGUGCUAAUACCGGCUCUUGUCUUCGGACCAAAGAUUUAUCGCCUUUGGAUGGGCCUGCGUUGGAUUAGCUAGUUGGUAGGCUAAAAGCCUACCAAGGCGACGAUCGAUAGCUGGCCUGAGAGGAUGAUCAGCCACACUGGGACGAAGACACGGCCCGGACUCCUACGGGAUGCAGCAGUGGGGAAUAUAGGACAACGGGCGAAAGGCUGAACCAGCAAGGCCGCGAGAGUGAUGAAGGCCUUAGGGAUGUAAAGCACUUUUACCCGGGAUGAUAAUGACAGUACCGGGAGAAUAAGCACCGGCUAACUCCGUG